AAAAUAGUAGCUACGGAAGGUAGCUCCACAAGAUGGCGGAACACAAGAAGUUUCUUGAGGAAUUGAUUCGAAGACCAGGGAAUGGUGUGUGUGCAGAUUGUGGAAAAGAAAGUAUGUAUUAGACACUUUUUGGCAUAGUUUCAAUUAUCCUUAAAAUCAAUGUAAUCCAAAAUACAUGAGUUUGACAGACGUAUUAUUAAAAAAAAGUUUUACCGCUUUUCUUUCAAAAACAUCGCAUCAGUAUUAUCCUGAUAGUUCUUGAAUUGCGUUCCCGAAUGACUUUAACUGAAAAAAUAUUCUGGGUGUAAGGUUUAAGCUGUUUUCAAGUUUUACAAGGGGUGGUGUCACUGUUUGUAACUUUCAUUUUGACUGUGCACACCUUUGUCGUUUUUUUUAAAAAUGAAGCUUGUAACAUUUUAUUUAUUAAAUCACAAUAUUAACAAAUGCACUGCUUAAGCCACUCAGGUGAAAUCUGAAUUAAGAGUAUUUCUUAAAUUAUAUAUUUAUGGAUUUGUGUUCUUGACAUAUAUGCAAUUUACUUAAGUUGAGGCUGCAAACCUAAAAAAGCAUACUUUGGAAUACACAAUAAACAUGGUAAAAUGUAAUGCAUUUCCAAUAUAAGAUAUGGCCAUCAGUUUCAAAGUUAACCUGCUCCAAAAAUCUUUACCAUCCAAAGCAUCCAAAACAUAUUAAACAUACAAUAUACAUAAAAAAGGCAAUUGUUUAACAUUUAAUUGUAUGAGAUGAAUAAAUUUUAUGCCUUUCUAAGUCUGGAACAUCACAAAUAAAUAACUGAUUAAGCUUAUAUGGUUGAUGCUACGUGAUUCUUUAAUACAUUAAUUGCGCUACAUUUGUUCUGUAGCUGUCUGUGAAAAAUUGAUCAGGAGCGCAAAUUAUGACAACCUUUCAAAAACACACAACUGACAUUGUCAGAUAUAGCAACAAUGUUAAAGAAAUGACAAUGAAGUUUUUCCUUUUUCUUCAGUCAUAGAAUGUUAGAUCGUUUGGUUUUAUGAAAUGUGUAAGUGAGAAUUUAAGAUUAAAGUUAUUGUUAAAUGAAAAAGAGAAAGAGAAAAUUCAAUAUUUAAGUUAUUUACGAUCAUUUAAAACAAGUGUGGAUUUACUAAAUUGUUAAUACAAUUAGCGUAUAAUUUGCACAUUUCAAUGAAUUAUCAAUGAUGUUUUUAUUAUGAUUGGAUAUUAAGCAUUUACCAUUCCCCCUCUUAAAAAAUGAUUUAUGAGGUUUUGAUAGGUCUUGAGUUGAUAAAAGUCUAGGAAUUACCUCCAUAAGCUCAGAAUGCAGAACUUUGCUCUACAUUUUGAUAUCUCAAAUUUUUCACAGGGAUAGUUCCCCAUACCCCCCCCCCCCCCCCCCACCCCACCCUGUAUAUUUGCCACAUAGAUGUGAACUUCAGUGUGCAGUGCUGAAUUUCCCAUUUAUA
rnacentral:misc_RNA from 1 species